rnacentral:rRNA from 1 species
UUCCCAGACUCCUACGGGAGGCAGCAGUGAGGAAUAUUGGUCAAUGGGCGGAAGCCUGAACCAGCCAAGUCGCGUGAGGGAAGAAGGCCCUGCGGGUCGCAGACCUCUUUGGACGGGGAGCAAGGCCGCCGACGUGUCGGCGGAAGGAGAGUACCCGUAGAACAAGCAUCGGCUAACUCCGUGCCAGCAGCCGCGGUAAUACGGAGGAUGCGAGCGUUAUCCGGAUUUAUUGGGUUUAAAGGGAGCGUAGGUGGAUUGUUAAGUCAGUUGUGAAAGUUUGCGGCUCAACCGUAAAAUUGCAGUUGAAACUGGCAGUCUUGAGUACAGUAGAGGUGGGCGGAAUUCGUGGUGUAGCGGUGAAAUGCUUAGAUAUCACGAAGAACUCCGAUUGCGAAGGCAGCUCACUGGACUGCAACUGACACUGAUGCUCGAAAGUGUGGGUAUCAAACAGGAUUAGAUACCCCUGUA